rnacentral:rRNA from 1 species
CGGAGGUGCAAGCGUUGUCCGGAUUAUUGGUUAAGGGUGCGUAGGCGGUCCAUUAAGUCUGGGUGAAGCCCGUUGCUCAACAACGGAACUGCCCUGGAACUGGCGGACUUGAGUACAGACGAGGUGGCGGAAUGGAUGGUGUAGCGGUGAAAUGCAUAGAUACCAUCCAGAACCCCGAUUGCGAAGGCAGCUGCCUAGACUGUAACUGACGCUGAGGCACGAAAGCGUGGGAGCGAACAGGAUU